UAAUACCGGAUAGGACCUCGGGAUGCAUGUUCCGGGGUGGAAAGGUUUUCCGGUGCAGGAUGGGCCCGCGGCCUAUCAGCUUGUUGGUGGGGUAACGGCCCACCAAGGCGACGACGGGUAGCCGGCCUGAGAGGGCGACCGGCCACACUGGGACUGAGACACGGCCCAGACUCCUACGGGAGGCAGCAGUGGGGAAUAUUGCACAAUGGGCGCAAGCCUGAUGCAGCGACGCCGCGUGAGGGAUGACGGCCUUCGGGUUGUAAACCUCUUUCAGUACCGACGAAGCGCAAGUGACGGUAGGUACAUAAUAAGCACCGGCCAACUACGUGCCAGCAGCCGCGGUAAUACGUAGGGUGCGAGCGUUGUCCGGAAUUACUGGGCGUAAAGAGCUCGUAGGCGGUUUGUCGCGUCGUCUGUGAAAACCCGCAGCUCAACUGCGGGCUUGCAGGCGAUACGGUCAGACUUGAGUACUGCAGGGGAGACUGGAAUUCCUGGUGUAGCGG
rnacentral:rRNA from 1 species